GGGGAUUUAGCUCAGCGGCAUAAGCGCCUGCAUUGUAAGCAGGCAGUCGUGAGUUCAAUCCCUG
rnacentral:tRNA from 1 species